AUGUCACCCCAUCCUUUUCCCUGUCUUCCUUCCUAAUCUACCAUCACACAGAGAUUUACAUCGGAGAGAGAGAAAGAUCUGGAGAGAGGGGGAGGAUCGACGGCGUUGCUGCCGUGUAUCUCCGUCUUUGGCCGCCCUGACUGGCCACAUCCCCGCCUUUUCUCAGUUUACACCUCCCCUCCUCUCUCUCUCUCUCUCUCUCUCACACACACACACACACACAUAAAGGGUGACGCAAAUGACUUCCGCCCGGCCACCGUAGCUUAAUGACAACGCCAGUUAUUGUCGUGGGAAUCAGAAUGGGUUUCCGGUAACAUAUAGGAUGGUUGGUACGAUGAUGAUGUUUGCCUCUCUGGCUGGUGGCGAUUGUGAUUGCAGAACAUCAUCCACUUAAUCAGAGGUUUGCAAUGCUAAACCAUACAUCUGAAAUAUGGUCUGACGAUGGUGUUGAAAAAGGCCCUUUAGGGUUUAUGAUGAUAAGGCGUAAAUCAUUCAUUUUUGGGCAUACGAAUGUUGUAUUCUUUAUAUAUAAUAAUUUAUUAAUAAUUGAGGCGUAUGAACUGUGUUUGUAUUUGGUUUGGCUGUUAUCGGUUUAAAUGGACAGUUGUUACACGGAGGCUGUGAUGAGUAAUCAAAAUAAAGCCGGCGUGGCAGCUACGGAGGAUCUCAGGCUAUGAUGAUCAUGGUCAGAUCAUUACUUGGCGUAGGUUGGCAGGUGCAUUGUUCUCCGCUUGCAACUGAUGGUGCAGCCAUGGCAGCUUAAUAGCUUGGUCUGAGCCUCACCAUGCUGGUUUCGAGUAUGGGAACAAGCUAUCCAGGGAAAAUGUUGUUGAUCCUGUCCAACAGUCACUUGGACCUAGAGGUUGCAGUUACAUAUCAUUAAGGGGUUCAGUUUGGGUCAAAUCAGCUAUGGAACACACAAACCAUCGAGUUAACCGCUAUCCGAGGUCUUCACAGUUCCCUCAAACCUCAAAUGCAAUGUUGUAUCUGCAGAAUUCUGGACUCAGGAAUUGCUUCAGUUGUUUAUAUUACUGAUAAAGGAGAUGAAGAUCGACGCCGGACACAAACCACAGUCUCCCAGGGAUUUACACAUACACAAAGGAGACUGCACCAGUUUAUGUAUGCUGAUCGUGAUACGACACUAGAGAAUAUGAUCUGUUGGAGAACUCUAGAAAGAUUAAAUUGUCAGUAACCGUUGAGAAUUGCAGUGAGAAAGGGUAUACAGUUAUAAUGCAGUUUGUACACUUACUGCUAUGAAAUAUGUGGUAUAUCAUGCCACCGUUAUUGCUGCUGAAGGAGUUGAAGCUUAUCAGACUUUAACAGGUACCCACUUACUUAUGUUGAAGAGAUGUUUAGCAUGGUGGCGUCAUGGUUCUAAAGAUGUGAGAAAAUUAUGCUUUGGAAUGUUGUACGGAACUUUUUGGUUCAUUUCGAAAGCUCGCAACAAAUUGGUCUUCAAAAAGCUUCGCCCCUCUAUUAAAAAUACGGUGAAAAAAAUCAUAGCUCAUCUGUUUUCGUGGGUCAAAAAUAAGUCGAAACACCAUUCCUUAUCAUGGCAGAGCCGAAUGAUAUGUCCUGACUGCUGUUUAUUUGUAAGAGGGUAGGGUGAUUGGCUUUGGCUUUGCUAUAUGUUGCUUUUCUUAGUACUUUUUUCCAACCCAUAGCUGGUUGGUUGCUAAUAUAUUUUGUUUGUUGCUAGCCAAAACAAGUAGGAUGCUAUAUCUAACAUAUUUAUUUUUUACAUAUCUUUAGAGAGAAUGUAGCUCAAGUUUUUGUACUCUUAUUAUCCAUCUUUUGCACAAAAUGGAACAUAAAUAUAUAAAUG
rnacentral:lncRNA from 1 species